rnacentral:rRNA from 1 species
UUUAAGGUCUAACCUGCCCAAUGAGGAUUUAAAUGGCCGCAGUAUUUUGACUGUGCAAAGGUAGCAUAAUUAUUAGUUUUUUAAUUGAAAGCUUGUAUGAAGGGUUGGACGAGAUAAAAUCUGUCUUUAUUUAAAUUAAAAUAUAAUUUAACUUUUAAGUAAGAAGGCUUAAAUAUUUAUAAAAGACGAGAAGACCCUAUAGAUCUUUAUUUGAUUAAAAUUUUAAUAAUUUAGGAUUAUUUUAAUUUAAAGUUUUAAUUAAAUUUUAUUGGGGUAAUAUAAAGAUUAAAUAAAUUCUUUUUAUUUAUAACAUUGAUUUAUGAAUAUAUGAUCCAUUAAUAUUGAUUAUAAGAUUAAGUUACCUUAGGGAUAACAGCGUAAUUUUUUUGGAGAGCUCAUAUCGAUAAAAAAGUUUGCGACCUCGAUGUUGGAUUAAAAAUUAGCUUGGGUGCAGAAGCUCAAGACUUUGGUCUGUUCGACCAUUAAAUUUUUACAUGAUCUGAGUUCAGACCGGCGUGAGCCAGGUCGGUUUCUAUCUUUAUUAAGAUAAAAUGUUUUAGUACGAAAGGACCAGGCAUUUAAUAUAAUUAUAUUUAUUUUUU